CUCUUCCAUCUCUACCUUACAAGGUGCCUAGGGAAGGGGUCCACUGGUGCCUGCUGGCCUGCUGCCACAUCUGCUUGGCAGCAGCAGACUGCUGGGGUGGGAGCAGCCAGGGACGGGGUCUCACACACCCUGAGUAUAUUUCAGUUCCACUGACCUGGGUUGACCACGCAUUUAAAACAAAGGACCAGAUUUAGUGUCCCAAAGACACUAAAUUUUGGUAAUUUAUUGUGGCAUGGACACUUAAAGCAAUGAAGCUCUUACAUAUUAUCAGCAGUUCAGAGUUACAUGGGAAACUAAGGUGGACCUGGCUGAUUCUAAGUCAGCAUAACUCUUCCUCUUUGCUAUAUUUCCUGCUGCUUGAAUGUAUCUCCUAAAUGAAUUGUCCAUUGCCCACAUGGUUUUCGAAAAUAAUUUAUUUUUAGCUAAUGUGUUCCAGAUAGAUGGAAAAAACAUAACGUUAAAAAAAUAAAAAUGAAAUUAAAAAAUCCUCCCCUCAGCAAACAAGUUCCCCUCAGUCUUCAUAAAAGAAGGCCAACUUUCUCCUUCUGCUAGAAUUCCCAAAGGCUGAUAAUCAUAAAAAAAAAAAAAAGAAAAAAGAAAAAAAUCAUAGAUUGUAGAAAAUCCAAAGGAGUUGCCUCUAUUUAAAAAGAAGAACAAAACAAAAAAAAACAAACAAACAAACAAACAAAAAAACAAGCAAAACCAACCAACCAAACAAAAACAGUUCCUGACAGAAUCUCCCCCAACCUGAGUACCUUUCCUUUGUCAGUUGUGAGGACUCUUUAACAGCCUUAGUAUACAUCUUUUCUCCUGACUGCCAAUGCAUAAGCCAGCAUAUUAUUAUUUUUAACAGUCAUGUCUUCCUUUUACAUUGGCUUAUAGUUAAAUUAAUAUACUUAAAACAUUCCAUGCUCCUUUUUUUUUUUCUUUUUUGUUCUUUCUUUUUAUUUAUUUAUUUUUUCCCAAGGAAUUUCAGGUGACAGCCAAAAGUUACUCAAAAGGUUAACUGACUUGGAUAAGGACUUGAGAAAUAUUAAAUAACAAAAAAAAGUCUGUUUGCAUCACUGAAACGGUAGCAAUACACCACUGAAGUACAUGUAACAAUUUAUUAUUUGACUCUUCAGCCCUCCCACAUUAAAAAUUGAGCAUAUAUUCAAUGCAAAGAUUGAGAAAAACUGACCUAGCACCUAUCCACAUUCUGUGGACACCCUGUACUGGGUUGGCAGUAGCUCCACCAGUACAAAACCCCAAGUCAAGGGGUUCAGACCUGCUGAACACAGAUUUUUACAUGUGUACUACAUUAUGGCUUUAAACAAAGUAAGCCGUGCUUGCAGUCCUUACUGUACAUUGACAUUGCAUGUCUGCAAAUGGAGGAUGUAUCGCUAGAAUAGCUGCAUCAGUGCAAUUCCAUUGGUACAACUAUUCCCAAUGUAGAGAGGACCUUCAUCAGAAAUCCCUAUGGCAGGUGAUGCCAUCAGGCUAUUUAUAAGACAACUAUUAGCUUAGUUCAAAAAACAGGGUAUAAAAUGAUCCUUGUUACCUGUAAGUGGACAGUGAUGAUUAUAGCUCAGUCUAUGUUAUUAUUGCCUGAUUGUUCCCAGUUUGGAUUUUCACAUAUUGAGUCCUUACUCAAGGUCUUUUAACAUAGAUUUGAAAUGUGAAUAUGUUUUUUUUUUCCCCAGUAAAUAUACAAUACACACUUCAACAGUACUAUUAACCAACUUUUUAUGCCAAUUAAACUUUGCUGCACUAACAAUACCAAUGAAACACAUUAAGAGGUCAUACUUUUUCGUGAACCAACUGUAGCCAAUAAACAGUUUUGUAUUUAAAAAAAAAAAA